AGCAGCCGCGGUAAUUCCAGCUCCAAUAGCGUAUAUUAAAGUUGUUGCAGUUAAAAAGCUCGUAGUUGAAUUUCGGGAUCAAUAUGUUGGUCGUGCCUCGGUACGUACUAGCUUAUUGGUUUCUCCUUUCUGAAGAACCAUGAUGUCAUUUAUUUGGUGUCGUGGGGAAUCAGGACUGUUACUUUGAGAAAAUUAGAGUGUUUAAAGCAGGCUCACGCUUGAAUACAUUAGCAUGGAAUGAUGAAAUAGGACGUUUGAUUCUAUUUUGUUGGUUUCUAGGAUCGACGUAAUGAUUAAUAGGGAUAGUUGGGGGCAUUAGUAUUCAAUUGUCAGAGGUGAAAUUCUUGGAUUUAUUGAAGACUAACUACUGCGAAAGCAUUUGCCAAGGAUGUUUUCAUUAAUCAAGAACGAAAGUUAGGGGAUCGAAGACGAUCAGAUACCGUCGUAGUCUUAACCAUAAACUAUGCCGACUAGGGAUCGGAUGAUGUUAAUUUUUAAUGA
rnacentral:misc_RNA from 1 species